GACGAACGCUGGCGGCGUGCUUAACACAUGCAAGUCGAACGGAGUGUCGAUCGGGUGAGUAACACGUGGGUGAUCUGCCUUGCACUUCGGGAUAAGCUUUGGCAACUGGGUCUAAUACCGGAUUGUGCAAGAUGCGCUCGCGGCCUAUCAGCUUGUUGGUGGGGUAAUGGCCUACCAAGGCGUCGACGGGUAGCCGGCCUGGGAGGGUGUACGGCCACAUUGGGACUGAGAUACGGCGCAGACUCCGACGGGAGGCAGCAGUGGGGAAUAUGGCACAAUGGGCGGAAGCCUGAUGCAGCGACGCCGCGUGGGGGAUGAAGGCGUUCGGGUUGUAAACUCCUUUCGACAGGGACGCGGUACCUGUAUAAGAAGCACCGGCUAACUACGUGCCAGCAGCCGCGGUAAUUC
rnacentral:rRNA from 1 species